UUUUUUGAUUGUGUGUGUGUGAAAAUGAAAAGAAACAUGCUUUUUAUCUUGUCCAGAUGCGCUUCACAUAGAUGAGGCUUGGCUCAUGAGGCUUGGCUCGUUUCCUUUUUGAAGUCUGUGUAAAGUAUGUUUCUUGAAAGGGGAGUGUUAAAAUGGGAAAACAUGCUUUUGUGUUUUUGAAUUCAUGUUCUGUUCUUUUUAUUUUCUUUGUCCCCUCUGUCAGCUGUAAUUCCAUAUUCCCCAGUGUUACCCUUUAUUCAACAGACAAAGGUGUUGGAGCUUUUGUAACGCAGCUCUGAAUGCAUCUGUAACUGUGUGUGCAGGGGAGGUCCAUUAGAUUUGGACAUGCUUGUCUAAAGCGCAAGUCUUAAUGAAGAUUGAGCCCUUUUGCAAUGUUGCAAGAAGAGUUGUGGAUUUCAGCAGAUUUGGUUUGUUUUCUGUGAUUAUUUGUUUUGUUUGUCCGUGAGGAUGCUAAUGAUUGUGAGUUU